rnacentral:lncRNA from 1 species
CCUCCAUUUGAGUCUUUCUGGUAACUCUGGGCAGCGUAUCAAUCACAAAUGGUAGACAUUGAAACUCUUUUUCCAAUUCUUCCCACUUUUUCUUCAUCCCCUUGAACCUAACGCUGGUCUUGAAAACAAUGGAAGGUUUUAACUCCCAGGUAGUGCAAGAUAUCGCAGAUUUGUAUAAUUCACUCCAGGUGAUUGCUGUGGCCUGAAGGCCUCUGAGAUAUUUUCUGAGCUCAGCAGGUGAAGCUUUUUUCAAUUUU